UACGUAGGGUGCGAGCGUUAAUCGGAAUUACUGGGCGUAAAGCGUGCGCAGGCGGUUUUGUAAGCCAGAUGUGAAAUCCCCGGGCUCAACCUGGGAAUGGCAUUUGGGACUGCAAGGCUGGAGUGCGGCAGAGGAGACUGGAAUUCCUGGUGUAGCAGUGAAAUGCGUAGAUAUCAGGAGGAAUACCGAUGGCGAAGGCAGGUCUCUGGGCUGACACUGACGCUGAGGAGCGAAAGCGUGGGGAGCGAACAGGA
rnacentral:rRNA from 1 species